rnacentral:rRNA from 1 species
UACGUAGGGGGCAAGCGUUGUCCGGAUUCAUUGGGCGUAAAGAGCGUGUAGGCGGCCAGAUAGGUCAGCUGUGAAAACUCGGGGCUCAACCCUGAGACGUCGGUUGAAACCAUCUGGCUAGAGUCCGGAAGAGGAGUGUGGAAUUCCCGGUGUAGCGGUGAAAUGCGCAGAUAUCAGGAAGAACACCUAUGGCGAAGGCAGCUCUCUGGGACGGUACUGACGCUGAGACGCGAAAGCGUGGGGAGCGAACAGG